CGUAGGUGACCUGCGGAGGAUCAUUCACAAUAAGAGUGUUUAUGGCACUCUUCCAAAAACAUCCAUACCCACCUUGUGUGCAACGUAAAAAGAAAAAAAAAAUUAGCGCGAGUCAUGGAUGCAAGUCCGAGUCUUGCCUCUUUUUUCUUUUCUUUUCCACAUACACUUUUUUAUGUUCCUAUUGUCUGAAGCUGUUAGAGAAUGACUAAUUCUUAAACAUAACUUUCAACAACGGAUCUCUUGGCUCUCGCAUCGAUGAAGAACGCAGCGAAAUGCGAUACGUAAUGUGAAUUGCAGAAUUCAGUGAAUCAUCGAAUCUUUGAACGCAUAUUGCGCUCUUUGGUAUUCCGAAGAGCAUGCUUGUUUGAGUAUCAGUAAACACCUCAGCCAGAUUUAUUUCUGGAUGGACUUGAGCAAACCCAACAGUCUUCGCUGACCGAGCGGGUUGCUUGAAAUGCAGGUGCAGCUGUGAUACAAACAGACUGAGCUAGAAGCAUAUCUAAUUUAGUCCGCCUAGCGGAUUAUUUCUAUUUGCUACAGUUCAUGAAAAGUCUGUUCGUCUCUGCUGACUGAUGCAGGAUUGUUAGACUUUCUGACCUCUUUUGGGAGGCCAGGAUCUUCUUUCAAAACUCGAUCUCAAAUCAAGUAAGACUACCCGCUGAACUUAAGCAUAUCAAUAAGCGGAGGAAAAGAAACUAACAAGGAUUCCCCUAGUAACGGCGAGUGAAGCGGGAAGAGCUCAAAUUUAAAAUCUGGCCGGGUUACCGGUCCGAGUUGUAGUUUAUAGAAGUGUUUUCGGCGGCAACCUGGGUACAAGUCCUUUGGAACAGGGCAUCAUAGAGGGUGAGAAUCCCGUCCAUGACCCAGUGGAUGCUGCUAUGUGAUACAUUUUCAAAGAGUCGAGUUGUUUGGGAUUGCAGCUCAAAAUGGGUGGUAAAUUUCAUCUAAAGCUAAAUACAGGCGAGAGACCGAUAGCGAACAAGUACCGUGAGGGAAAGAUGAAAAGAACUUUGAAAAGAGAGUUAAACAGUGCGUGAAAUUGUUGAAAGGGAAACGUUUGGCACCAGUCGUGUGUUCAGGAAAUCAGUCUAUCGAGGUGGGGAGUUGUGGGUGUUUGGACCGCAAGGCCAGCUUCUACUGCAUUCCUGUUUGGAUGGAUGCACUUUUCUGUAUACAGGUCAACAUCAGUUUUGUUUGCCGGACAAAACCUCAAGAGAAUGUGACAGCUCUGGCUGUGUUAUAGCUCUGGGGCGAUACGGUGGACGAGACUGAGGCUUUCAGUGUGUGCUCUCGGGCAAGGCUGACCGGGUGCUAUGGGACAGUUCGGGGUACAAUACAUGUAUUUUGCUCCGUGUCUGGCCUAUACUCGCUCGAAUCGGCUCUCCACACUUAGGA
rnacentral:rRNA from 1 species